UAUUGAGUCAGCAGUUGGGGAUGUAUGGGUCUGAAGUUCAGAGGAGAGUUCAGGCUGGAAAGAAUAUAUUCGGAGUUGUAAACGUGAGGCCAGGCAGGAUCACGAGGAAGUGAGUGUCAGUAGAGAAGAAUGUGCAUAGCCUUAGGCACUUGAGUGAAUAGGCUCAACUGUGUGGAAGUCUGCUGACAGGUCAUCUAAGAUGAGGACUCUCAACUGACCGUUGGAUUUGCAAUGUGGACCUGAAGAGUAAUUGUGGUGAAGUUGUGAGAAUGAAACUGAAGUGGGUUCAAGAAAGAACGAGAGGAGAGAAAGUGGAGUUUGAGUAUAAAUAACUCUUUUGGAGAGGAUUGGUGUAAUUGAAUGGCAGGGGUAUGAGAUUUGAGGUCAAGGAAAUAUUUUUAUUAUUUUUUACGAUGAGAGAAAUUGUAGUACACAUGUAUAUUUAUGGGAAUGACUCAGUAGAAAGACCAAAAAUUUCAUAUGUGAGAGAAGGACCAAUUGAUGAAGCGAUGUUCUUGCGUGGGCGCGAGGAUGGGAUCGAGUGCACAGCGGAAGGUGGCACUUAGGAACACGCAGCACUCGUCCAUGCCAGCAGGAGGCAAGGCAGAAUGGAAAUAAAACUUUAACCAAAAGAGCAUGGGCAGAUAUUUCCCGGAUCUGAACAGGAAUAGCUGGUGUCUGGACUCUAUGAAGAAUCUUCAUGUGCAGUGAUAGAAGAAUAAACACAUUUGCAGACUUUUGUAGUGCACAGUGACCGGUGACCAGCAGCAUGUGUUUCCAUAGGCAUCUUCUCUCAGUACCCCAGAAGGUGAAUUGCCAGUGAGUCCUGCCAGGAUGCCCCUCGGUGACUGCACCACCCAGUAAAAAGACAUCCCUUAACUAUGGCAAAACAACAACAACAACGACGACAAAAAACAAAACAAAACAAAACAAAACCCUGCAUCAAUUUGAUAAAUAAUCCUCCCCGUUGAUGUCACUGGUUUUUUUCUGCACAUCUUCUCACUGAUAUUUAAAUGCUGAGCUUACACUUUCCAUGGACAUGCUUAAUGACUAAACAAUAGUUGAAUUCUAAAUUAAUCAACUGACCAACCAGUAAGAAUUUAUUGAGCAACUCCUUUGAAGCCGUCUAUCUGUUAGGUGCUGUGGGAGCACAAAAGAAAUAGGACAUCAUCUCUGCCUCAGGGAAUUUAGUGUUUUGGGGAAAACCUGAGUGGUAUACACAAAGCAAUUGAGGAACAACCUAGGACCUUGUAGUCCAUUAGGAUUUCCAAAAAUAGAAAGAGAAUGGAAAGUCACCUGGCUAGGAGAAGCCAGUGGAAACUUGACACGAAGAAAAAAGAGCAGCUAAUUUCAUUCCUGUCCACCAGUUAUUUAUGUGUUUAUCUUUAAUUACAUUUGUUUGAUUUCCCUUAUUAAAGUCUGAUGUCUUAAAAAAGCAGAAAAGUGAGGCAGGUCAGCAGGGGAUGUAAGUUGGGAAGAAAGACAGGUGAGGGCAAGAAUUUAGGCAGGAGCCACAGUGUUGGUUGUGCAGGUGAAGGUCAGGUGACGGAGGGUAACCAGUCAUGGAUGACCCAGGCAGGAGCCAUAACCAAAAUGUUAGAAAAAGUUGGUAAGAAAUUGUUCCAGGCCAGGCGCAGUGGCUCAUGCUUGUAAUUCCAGCACUUUGGGAGGCCAAGGUAGGCGGAUCACUUGAGGUCAGGAGUUUGAAACCAGCCUGGCCAACAUGGAGAUACCCUGUCUCUACUAAAAAUACAAAAACUAUCUGGGCAUGGUGGCACGUGCCUGUAAUCCCAGCUACUCAGGAGGCUGAGGCAGGAGAAUCACUUCAACCCAGGAGACAGAGAUUGCAGUGAGCCGAGAUUGCGCCACUGCACUCCAGCCUGGGUGACAGAGUGAGACACCAUCUCAAAAAAAAAAAAAAAAAAAAGUUUUCCAGGAACAAGGGCAGAACUUAGCUACUGAGUUCUACCGAAGGCCAGGAUCUGAGUCAAGCACCAAGGUUAACUCCCAGGGAAGCCAAAUGUUCAUAAAAGGAAAUCUUUCCAAAUCACAAAUAUCAGGGCCUGCUAGGUAAAUUCUAGCUUCUCUGUGCCAAGGGCUGUGUUCCUACUCUCAAGCGCCACUCACUGACUGUCUGGGUGGUGCUGUGGGCUUCUGUACUUUUAGCUUCAUCAGCUGCACCUGUCCUCUUUUCCCAUAAGACGCCAGGACCCUCAGAAUCUUCCCUCUUACCAGAAAUUUGGGUUUUGGGCUGGGUCCCUGGACCGAAUUCUGACACUCUAAGUGUUUGCAGACUAUUUUGAUAGAGGUAGUGAUUAUGAUGCCAGAAAAGUGAAGCCAGUUUUUAUUAGAAUGUUGGCCAUCUUGAAUAAUCCAUUCCCCCACUUCCAUGGGACAUCUUCAAAGAGAUUUUUAAAAGACAAAUAUGAUCUCUACUAAUGAGAUAUCUUCAGAAGGUAGAAUUAAAGCAAAAUUAAUGUACACAGAAUUCCUAUUUCAAUAUAUUUAUUAUUCACAACAUUUCUACACACACACACACACACACACACACGCAUACACACACACACACACACAUUCCUGCACAGGUAAUUUAUAGUGGCUAAUCCACUCAGUACUGUGGACUUUGGUUUUAGAGAGCAUUGUUUUCAAGGGUAGUACAGAUAAUCUGCCUCCAACAUAUUCUAUUCUUAGGGCUCUAAAGUCAAAGGAGUUUGUACAGACCCCUCCCUGCUAAGGUAAUUAUGUCCUCUUCAUAUCUUGCAUGAAUGUUUGCUCUUAGAGUGAUGAUCUGAAAUAUCAACAUCCUGCAGGACCUAGUCUGGUCUGGAAGAAGAAGAGAUAUGUCAUCUCUAUGGGCUUUGAUCUUGGUAGGCAUAUUUAUUCACCAGGUACACAAAUGCAACUUUAAACCCUCAGCCACAUUUAGUAAACUAUUUCUUCAUCUGUUGCAGUCUUAUUCUGAUGGGAAAAAUUUCCUCUGUUUUUCAAGUUUAAUUUAUUAUUUUUUCAAAUUACAAGAGCAAUGCAUAUUAUUGUAACCAGAGAGAUAAUGCCAAGAUCGGUAGAGAAAAACUUAAUAAUCUCGACCUCCUAUAACCAUCUCUCUUCCCAUCCCCCUGAGGUAAUAGCAAAUGUUAACAGCCUGCUACCUCUGCACAUCUUCCUUCCUUCAUGAUUUCCCUACACACACACCCAUACACACACGUGCGCAUGCACACACACACCCACUCAAACACACGGUGUACGUCCAGGAGUCAGAAGUGGCUACAGAGAUGGAGUCUUCAUUAUUAAGAGUAAAACAACAGAAGCCUGUAUUUUGACCAGAGGCCUGGAAUCUACUACUUUGUGAAUUAGCUAAGCAGCCCCAGUUGAACGUGAACCAGCCUGGAACAGAGUGGACUGCAGAGGCAAUAAACAAGGAUGUCGUGAAGACCCUGUUUCUUUCUAGCGUGGCAUCCCAGGAUAAAAUAUACAAUUAAUAGAUACUGGAAGGCACACUUUCUGAUUAUGGAGAAACCAUCAAAUUUGGCCAUGGUUUUGCAUAGGGGCUAGGUUGGAAAUUCAACUAGAACAAUUUAAUGUCUACUGGCAAAGCUUCUUAAUUAUGGAAUGAAAGCUACCUCAAAGUGCCUGGAGGCUUGAGCUGAAUGGUGAGAUCUUCAUUGACCUGACCUCCUCUGUGCUGAAGUUUGCUGACUUGAGGAGACCUCCCCUAAGAACAGACCCUCCCCUCAGGGCUGCCUUCAGCGAUGAUGAUUGACGCUGGCAAGUCAGUCAAGUGGGAAGUUUGCAGCACACACGGCUCAAAGGACUCACCCAGUUUGCCCUGUUGGAGGAUGUUAACCUUUGCACACUAUUUUUGACAUUUAAUUUUUCCUUCCAUUUAGUGCAUGACUCUUUUUUUGUCUUUCUAGUAAAUUCAUUUAGUUAGUAUUAUUCUUUGCCUAUUUUGUCUUUUAAACUUCUGGUUUUUAAUCUUUCGUAUUUUAUAUUAUUUAUUCUUGGUGUUCAUGCUUCUUAUUCUCUUUUCUGCUAUUUUAUCUUAUUGUUGUGAUAAUAGUAUAUUUGCAGUAAGCUCCUUUUACUAACUUCAUUUAUUUCUACAUAAUGUUUUAUCUGGCUUUGACCACAACUAUAUAAGGGGACAGCAAAGUGGAGCCACAAAUGGGAAGAUUGUGAAGAGGGCCCUUGACCAAAUAAAGAGGAAACCUUUUCCCUGAAGAGGACUUUUCAGCAACCCAACUAAUUCACUCAUUUUUCUCAAAGUUGAAUUUUCUUCCACAAAAACCCCUUGACUUUGUUAUUGAGUAGAUCCUCAGGCCUAGGAAAAUAAUGUCUACAUCGACCAAGGAGAUAUCUGAACUACCAGUACUUCCUGCAGCAUCUUUGUUUUGGUUGGCCUGGGCAGGUGGUGGGGCACGGGGGUGAAGGGAGGGGUCUGAGGUGGGUAGAAAACAAGGGUAUCCCCAGGGCUAUGGGAGGAAGGUCUAGUGGACUGGAACCAUUGUAUCUGUCGAUUAGUGGAGGCAAUCAUAUUUGUGAUCCUUGAGCUAAUGGUCUAGUAAGACUAUAAACUUGUUCAUAAUUAAAGCUGGCAAGAGGGUUCUUACCCCAGGUAAUGAGACAAGAGUGAACCACAGGAGGAAGCCAGCACAGAGACCGUAUGUAAUGAGUCCCUUCAUGGGAAAGGGAUGGAAAACAGUCCUCAGGCUAGCAGCAGAGGGAGUGCUGUCUGUUGUGGGUCUUGACCUGCUUAAGAGGUCUGACUUGAGGUGAGGCUGAAAGACAGCCCCGCUGGGGGCUUCAAGAUAACGAUGGACGGAUAGAGUUCUCUCACCGCUGAAUAUCUCCUAAGGCAUUAGUAAAACACUAUUUAAAUAUUUCCUCUGUAACUCAGUUGUGCUAUUAAAGCUCUGUUUCUCAAAGUAGGUCUGUAGAUGUUCUUGAGAGAGUGAGUGUUUCAUGAGAAUUUUCAAAUUUUCUGCUUUCGUUUUGAAGAUAAUCUUAAAGAAAUAAAAUCAAAAUGUUCUACUACAUUAUUUUUAGUGCUGAAGGCUGAGUUUGGUGCCAAAUGAAGAACAAAUAACAUCACGGCAUGCUAUGGAAAUGUCGAUUUUGCAUUAAGUUUGAAUAGAGAAAGAUGUGGGAAAAUUGAUCAAUUUUGUGGCCCAAAGGUAGUACAGACAUCAUUAGUUCAAAAUGUCUUCUGUCAUAGCAGUGGCAUAUCAUGUUGAGAAGUUAUUGUGAGACAUACCAACUUGAACUGUCAUUCAAUAGCAGGAAAGAAUACUGUUAUUUUUAUUCAAUAGUAUUUUUAAUGUUAAUCUUCAGUAUUUUUAUUAUUAUGUACUUAUUGUGGUGCACUAUUAAAUUUAUCAGCCCCUCAAACUAAUGGAUUAGUAGUUAAACAAGCUUAUUUACCAAAAACGAUUAAUCCUACGAUAACUUGAAGAAAGACUUAAGAUAUGCUUCCAGUAUUGUUCAAAGUCAAAAGAAUCAAGAGGACAGAAAGUGAAGCAUAAAACAUACAAAUAGUAGGUGUAUUAAACCCAACGCCAGCAAUUUAGUUCCAGCAAAAUAUCAUUUAUCACACUGAUGUUUUCUAUAUGAACUCUAGUGGCUUUUGUAUGUUUGCUUGUUUUUAAUUUGCAGCUUUGCUUGAGUUUUGAAGUAAUUUAAGAGCUAUAUGUAUGGGAAAUUUAUAUCUGUUCAUUUUGAAGUAACACAAUAAAAAUAAUGUAGAGCAACAGUAGGAUUUUAUGGGAGUUUUUUUUUAUCUUUUAAACAUUAUUCAAGCUUAAAAAAUCUAUGACAGAGAAUUAAUGGGAGGCUUUUAUGUCUACUCUUUCAGUCUCAGGCUAACUGGGCCAUAACACCUCUUCAGGCUGGGGUUGGGGUAAUGGAAGCAAUUAAUGAAAGACAAGGAAAGAAAUCGGGGAUGAGUUAGAUAUUUGUGGACCAGUUCAUCCUCUGAAUGUGGAUAACUACUACUUAGUCACAAUCUUGGUGAAUUUUGUUUUAUUUUGAAAAUCUAAUAUUAGGAUAUCUGAGUUCUAAGAAAACCAGGAGAGACUUGUAAGUGUUGACAAAACUUAAUAGAGUAAAAGUAGAUAUUGGGGUAGGCGCAGAAAACUGGAAAUUUAGGUUCAUAGAACUGAGGUGAAAUGUGUGUGUGACUGGAACAAACCUGUGUGUGUGUGUGUGUGUGUGAGCUUGUGUAUUCAUGGUGAAGUUCUCAAUAAAUUUGCCUACAAUUGUGUGUGGCUGGUGGAUGGGCUGUCUGGAUGAAUGGCAUCACCCAUGCACCAGACUUCUUUCCCUAAAAGUGUUUGUUCUGGGGGCUUUCCUGGUUGUCUCAGGUGUAAGUUCAGAUGUACUCUAGGAUUUUCUUGAGGUAGAAAACAAGAUUCCAUGACUGCUUUUCAGGACUGUUACUUUCCAUUGCAACCAAAUGUUGGAGUGACCAUCGUGCUAGCGGGAGGCCAGCACUCUUUCUACUACCUCUCUCACUGUUUAUUUCAGUUCUUUCUUGAUUGCUGUAAACACAUGUAUGGCAUGGACAGCCAGGUCUUGGUCAGGGUUAAUCUAGGAAGGGUGAAAGGCAAAGUGAAUCCAGAUAGAUAGAUGUCAUUAGAGUGAGAAUGCCAGGGAUUAAUGGCAUUUGUGACUUCAUGGGGCCUCAGAUAGCCACUUUCCAAUUUUAUGAAUGGAUACUACAUUUACAUAGAAAAACAGCAUCUGCUCUCCCCAGUGCUUAGCGGUGAUCAGUGUAAGUCUUGGAAUGCCAGAGGGUGAUCAACUGAUGCUUUUAGCUGCUUGUAGUUCCUCCGUGUACUGGUCAGCUACAGGGUGGGAGUUCUCUGAUAUACAGAAACAUGCCACGGAUGCUGUGGAAUGGACUCCUCCGGAUGCAGUAACAGGGUGAUAGUGCAAGUGCAUUAUCUGUUCAAUGAGCAGCAGCAGUACUACAGGCUUAGGACCCGUUCAAUACAUUCUCCCUGACUCUAUCAGCGAGUGAUGGGUGGAACAAAGGUGAACUGGAAAAUGGAGAGGCUUUGAGUAAUACCUUCCAAAAUAAGAAUACAAAUUGAGAUCUGAGGUUUUCCUACUCUACGUUCUUACGAUAACCCAUAGUUUUCUUUUGUUACCUAUAAUAGUUUAUAAUGACAUAUUUAUGCAUUUAUUUGGUUAAUGUCUAUCAUAUAUCCUAUAUUUUAAGCUAUAUAAGGCCAGGAAUUGUAGGUACUUUUAUUUACCAGGGAUCCCAGUGGCUAAUACAGUGCCUGAAUGUGUGGGUUUUUUACAAAUUCUUUAAGAGUGACCCACUACUAUUUCUGAUUAUAAGUAUUAGUCAUCUUGUUGCUGCAUAACAGAUUACCCCAAAAUUUAGCAGCUUAAAACAACAUAUAUUUAUUAUCUUACAGUUUCUGUGGGUCAGGAAUUUGGGAGUGACUUAGCUAAGUGGUUCUGAUAUUAGUUAGGCUGCAGCCAUUGAAGGCUUGACUGGGGUUGGAGGAUACACUUCUUAGAAGGCUCAUUCACAUGAAUGCUAGUAGAAAGUUUCAGUUCCUUUGCUGCUUAUUGGUGGGAGGCCUCAAUUUUUAACCACAUGCAUGACUUCAUAGGGCUGCUUGAGUGUCCUUAUGACAUGACAGGUAGCUUUUUCUGGAGUAAGUAGUAUGGGGAUGCAAGGAGAGAGGGAGAGACAGGAGGAAGAAGCAAUACUUCUAUUAAAAAUAGGCUUUUUCAUACCGUAAAACUUACCCCCACCCUUUUUUUUUUUUUUUUUUGGACAUAGGGUCUCAUUCUGUUGUCCAGGCUGGACUGCAGUGGUAUGAUAAUGACUCACUGCAGCUCUGACCUCCCGGGCUCAAUUGAUCCUCUUACCUCAGCUUCCCAAGUAGCUGGGACUACAGGCAUGUGCCACCACACCAGCUAAUUUAAAAAAAAUUUUUUUUUUAGAGAUGAGGUUUUGCCAUCUUUCCCAGGCUGCUCUUGAACUCCUGGGCUCAAGCGAUCUACCCGCAUUGGCCUCCCAAAGUGUUGGGAUUACAGGCUUGAGCCACUGUGCUGGCAAAUUUACCCUUUUAAAUUGUACAAUUCUCCCUGGUCAUCUAGUGUUUAUGAAAAAUCACCAAAAUAAAUGAAGUGUACAAUUCAGUGGUUUUAAUACAUUCACAAGGUUGUGCAACCAUCACCACUAUCUAAUUCUAGCAUAUUUCCAUUACUCCAAAAAGAAAUUCCAUUAUUUGUCGGCAGUCACUUCCUAUUUCUCCCUCUCCCCAGGCCCUGGCAACCACUAAUCUUUCUGUCUCAAUGGGUUUGUCUAAUCUAGACACUUCAUAUAAAUGGAAUCAUACCAUAUGUAGCCUUUUUUGUCUCACUUCUUUCACUUAGUAUACAUGCCACAUGGCAGCAUGUAUCAGCAUUUCAUUCUUUUUUAUGGGCAAAUAAUAUUGUACUGUAUGAAUAGACCACAUUUUGUUUAUCCAUUCAUUAGUCAAUGGAUAUUUUGGUUGUCUUGGCUUUUUGGAUACCAUGAACUUUGCUACUAUGAACAUUUGUGUACAGGUUUUUAUGUGGACAUAUAUUUUCAAUUCUUUUGGAUAUGUACCUAUGCGUAGAAUUUCUGGGUCAUAUGGUAAUUAUAUGUAUAAAUUUUUUUGAGGAACUGCCAAACUGUUUUCCAAAGUGGCUGCAUCAUUUACAUUCUGACCAGCAGUAUAUGAAGUUUCCAGUUUCUCCACAACUUGCCCACAUUUGUUUUGCUGUUUUGAUAUUUGCCAUCCUAGUGGGAAGUGGUAUUUCAUUGUGAUUUUGUUUUGUAUUUCUAUUUUCCUAACAAAUAUUGAUGUGCAACUUUUCAUAUGAUUAUUUGCCAUUUGCAUAUCUUCUUUGGAGAAAUGUAUAUUCAAAUUCUUUGCUCAUUAUUAAAUUGGGUCAUUUGUCUUUCUAUUAUUGAGUUGUAAAAGUUCUUUAUAUAUUCUAGGUACAGUUCUGGCUAUCAGGUGUAUGAUUUGCAAAUACUUUGUCUUUCCACUUUCUUGAUAGUGUGUCCUUUGACACAAUUAAUUUAAAUAUUUUGAUGAAGUUUGGCUGAGUGUGGUGUCUCACACCUGUAAUCCCAGCACUUUGGGAGGCCAAGGUAGAAGGAUUGUUUGAGGCCAGGAGUUAAAGACCAGCUUGUGCAACAUAAUGAGACCUUAUCUCUAUUAACAAAAUUUUUUUUUAUGAAGUUCAACUUAUCUGUUUUUUUUUCUUUUGUUGCUCAUGUUUUUGAUCUCAUAUCUAAAAAUUCUUUGCCAAUCCAAAGUCAUGAAGAUUUAACUCCGUGUUUUCUUCUGAGUUUUAUAAUUGUUGCCCUUAUUUGUAGGUUUUUGAUCCAUUUUGAGUUAAUUUUUAUGUAUGGUGUGAGAUAGUGAAUUCAACCUUAUUCUUUCGCAUGUGGCUAUUAAGUUGCCCUAGCACAAUUUGUUGAAAGGACUCUUCUUUUCCCAUUGAAUUGUUUUGGUGCCCUUGUUGAAAGUCAACUGACCAUAAGUGUAUUUCAAUUUUUGGAUGUGAUUAUAAGUGGAAUUAUUUUAUUAAUGUGAUUUUUGGCUCG
rnacentral:lncRNA from 1 species